rfam:Triticum aestivum genome assembly, contig: Triticum_aestivum_CS42_TGACv1_scaffold_456862_5DS
UCCACUACUCAGUUGGUAGAGUACAUAGCUCUUAACCUUGUGGACGUGGGUUCAAGCCCCAUGGUGGAG